UACGGAGGGUGCAAGCGUUAAUCGGAAUUACUGGGCGUAAAGCGCACGCAGGUGGCUGAGCGAGUCGAUUGUGAAAGCCCUGGGCUUAACCUGGGAAUUGCAGUCGAUACUACUCAGCUAGAGUAUGGGAGAGGGUAGUGGAAUUCCCGGUGUAGCGGUGAAAUGCGUAGAUAUCAGGAGGAACACCGGUGGCGAAGGCGGAUCUCUGGGCCAUUACUGACGCUGAGGGGCGAAAGCGUGGGGAGCGAACAGG
rnacentral:rRNA from 1 species